UACGGAGGGUGCGAGCGUUGUCCGGAAUCACUGGGCGUAAAGGGCGCGUAGGUGGCGCGGGCAGUCAACGGUGAAAGUUCGGGGCUCAACCCUGAAUCGGCCGUCGAUACUCCCGUGCUUGAGCACUGUAGAGGCAGAUGGAAUUCCGGGUGUAGCGGUGGAAUGCGUAGAGAUCCGGAAGAACACCGGUGGCGAAGGCGGUGAGCUGGGCAGUUGCUGACACUGAGGCGCGACAGCGUGGGGAGCAAACAGG
rnacentral:rRNA from 1 species